GGACCCGCGUCGCAUUAGCUAGUUGGUGAGGUAACGGCUCACCAAGGCAACGAUGCGUAGCCGACCUGAGAGGGUGAUCGGCCACACUGGGACUGAGACACGGCCCAGACUCCUACGGGAGGCAGCAGUAGGGAAUCUUCCGCAAUGGACGAAAGUCUGACGCAGCAACGCCGCGUGAGUGAUGAAGGCUUUCGGGUCGUAAAACUCUGUUGUUAGGGAAGAACAAGUGCUAGUUGAAUAAGCUGGCACCUUGACGGUACCUAUCCAGAAAGCCACGGCUAACUACGUGCCAGCAGCCGCGGUAAUACGUAGGUGGAAAGCGUUAUCCGGAAUUAUUGGGCGUAAAGCGCGCGCAGGUGGUUUCUUAAGUCUGAUGUGAAAGCCCACGGCUCAACCGUGGAGGGUCAUUGGAAACUGUGAGACUUGAGGGCAGAAGAGGAAAGUGGAAUUCCAUGUGUAGCGGUGAAAUGCGUAGAGAUAUGGAGGACACCAGUGGCGAAGGCGACUUUCUGGUCUGUAACUGACA
rnacentral:rRNA from 1 species